rnacentral:rRNA from 1 species
AUUGAACGCUGGCGGCAUGCCUUACACAUGCAAGUCGAACGGCAGCACGGGUGCUUGCACCUGGUGGCGAGUGGCGAACGGGUGAGUAAUACAUCGGAACAUGUCCUGAAGUGAGGGAUAGCCCGGCGAAAGCCGGAUUAAUACCGCAUACGAUCUACGGAUGAAAGCGGGGGACCUUCGGGCCUCGCGCUAUAGGGUUGGCCGAUGGCUGAUUAGCUAGUUGGUGGGGUAAGGGCCUACCAAGGCGACGAUCAGUAGCUGGUCUGAGAGGACGACCAGCCACACUGGGACUGAGACACGGCCCAGACUCCUACGGGAGGCAGCAGUGGGGAAUUUUGGACAAUGGGCGAAAGCCUGAUCCAGCAAUGCCGCGUGUGUGAAGAAGGCCUUCGGGUUGUAAAGCACUUUUGUCCGGAAAGAAAUCCUUGGCCCUAAUACGGUCGGGGGAUGACGGUACCGGAAGAAUAAGCACCGGCUAACUACGUG